GACGAACGCUGGCGGCGUGCCUAAUACAUGCAAGUUGAGCGCUGACGGUUGGUACUUGUACCCACUGGAUGAGCAGCGAACGGGUGAGUAACGCGUGGGGAAUCUGCCUUUGAGCGGGGGACAACAUUUGGAAACGAAUGCUAAUACCGCAUAAAAACUUUAAACACAAGUUUUAAGUUUGAAAGAUGCAAUUGCAUCACUCAAAGAUGAUCCCGCGUUGUAUUAGCUAGUUGGUGAGGUAAAGGCUCACCAAGGCGAUGAUACAUAGCCGACCUGAGAGGGUGAUCGGCCACAUUGGGACUGAGACACGGCCCAAACUCCUACGGGAGGCAGCAGUAGGGAAUCUUCGGCAAUGGACGAAAGUCUGACCGAGCAACGCCGCGUGAGUGAAGAAGGUUUUCGGAUCGUAAAACUCUGUUGGUAGAGAAGAACGUUGGUGAGAGUGGAAAGCUCAUCAAGUGACGGUAACUACCCAGAAAGGGACGGCUAACUACGUG
rnacentral:rRNA from 1 species